ACAUGCGGAGAUUUCUAGAGCUCUCAAUAAGUCAAAAUACAAUAAGUUUGCUUCAGUUAAUAAAUACUAUUUCCUUAUCUCCUUAACCUGUUGAGACCUCAGUAGUAUAUAAGUAUUCAUGAUUAAUCUACUUCCGUUCUCUAUUGACAGAAUUCUGCAAAAGAGAAGAAGAGUAAAAAGAGCCAUAAUAGUAACAAUACCAUCAAUAUUUUGCCCCAAAGCUUUUUGCAGCAAAAAUGUGAUCAUGACCAAGAUGUCCAAGAAGAGAUGCUUAAUAAUACAAAAAAAAUAAUGGGCUUCCAUUAUGUAAAUAUGAAGAGACAUCACAUGAUAGCAAAUAUAAAAAAUCAGUGUCAAUUGUGGCUGUCCCAGAAGGUAUUUGAAUUGUUUUUCCUUUUUUACAUGUGCCAUUUCCCAAUUCUUUAUAUAUUUUUCAUGUGCUAUGUUUGCCAUCUUCCUCACACAACUUUUUUUUACAGAUUACGUUUGUAACUAGGCUAAUCUUAACAUUAUUGAGCCUAUUAAGAAAAUCUCUUAUAAACCUAGAAAGGAACAAGUUGUGCUCAUCGAUGAUGCUUUCAUAGACACGAUGGACAUGGAGUGCCUUUUUCAGCCGAAUGAAUUUUUAAAUGAUCAGGUCAUAAAUGAAAACAUUAUGUUAUUAAGAGCUCAAGAUUAUCUGAAGUUGAGGGCUUAUGGAAAGGUCCUCCUCGAGAAUUCUCUUAUCUCUAGUAUCCUCAAGAGGGAUUGUGAUGAUAAAAUUAAAAUGGAGGAUCUAUAUCCCACACAUGACAAGAAUGAAAUUAGAACCAUUGAGAAAAGGGUUUUAUCAUACCUAGACCAUGACAUGACACUCAAGGUGAGGUGAUUGUGAGGAGGUUGUUGCUGGUGGCACGCUAACAGCACCUUGAAGCAGACCGACACCAGGGUGGCGGUGAGGGAUGAAUGUUGCGGGCAAGAGAGAGGUGAUGAAGUUGCACUUUGUUUACAUAGAUCAUUUGAAAAAUAAGGUCGUACGCAUCCGAAUUGCCCAGCAUAGUCCUUUGAAAACCAUUUCUGCUUAUGUGGAAGGCAAAGUGUAUCUCUAUUGCUACAUGUCCAAAUAAAAUAUUUCCUAUGCUGAAGAAUGAUGAUUACAAUUUUUUUCCUCAGCGAUGCAUGGGCAAAAAUACACCUGACGUCUCCGUUUAUUUUUCACAUAUCGGUGUCAAACAUAAAGACUAUCAAAAAGAAACAAAAAUAUGGUGUCACAAAAGCAAAAAUAUUGAUUGGGUAGGAUAGAAUGAAAUAAGAAUUAUUGAUCAUAAAUUUAUAACAUUAUUUUAUACCAUGGGUAUUACCUAAUCUAUUUCUAUCUAUAUCUAUACCUAUACCUAUAUCUAUAUCUAUAUCUAUAUCUAUAUCUAUAUCUAUAUCUAUAUCUAUAUCUAUCUGCAACUAAAAAAUUUACAUAGCAAUCGUCCCCCGACUCCAGUCGCUUCAUCCCCGAUACCUUUCUCCUGGCUUCCCAUCCGCCCAUCUCCGUCUCCGGUGCGGCCAUCGUCGCUCCCAGCGACUCCCCUCACACCCACGACGCCGCAACCCAUCGCCUGUACCCUAGCACCACCCACAGCUGGCCUCCCCUCCCGCCGCCGUGGAGAAAUUCCUCCGCCUCCCGGAGCUGCUCCGCUGCCCCGAUGCCGCUAGACGCGCUGCCGCAGGCUCUGGUGCCACAUCCACCGCAUCCCCAUCGCGGGACAGGACAAGAGAGGUCGGCUUCCAGCGGCAUCCUCCAUGCCGGCCAGCGAGCUCGCCUCCUGAUUCAACACGGCAAGGUGCGGAUCCAGUAGCAUGGAGCCCUGCCCCGGCGCGCUUGCGCGGCUUUGGCAUGUGCGGCUCCGGCAGCGCGCGGCACUGCCCCGGUCACCUGCUCCAGCCCUGCCUCACCUGACCGAGCCUUCGAGGAAGUCUAGCUAACCUGUUAAUCUGUUACUCUAUAAACGCUGAGCGGACCUCCACGGAGACGGCGGCAGCAUCCAGAGCCUCGUCUUUGUUGGCCCUUUGUCUGCCGAGUGCUGGUGAGGUAUAUAUAUUCCAUCUCUUCUCUCUUCCUGAUGUGUGAAACUGAAUCUUCUCCCUAAAGUGGAUUCGUGCUCUCAAGGUUGUCUCACGUAGAUUUAGAUCAGGUUGCAAUGAUUAAGUCAAUUAUUUAAUCUAUCCGCUGAAACUGGAAUAGCUAGCGGGAGGAGGAGGAAAAAGCAGUUGCAGGCCACAACACUGGUUUAGGACGAUGCCUUGCUGUCUACUAAGCAGGAUAUCCAGGAUGCCAUCCUCAUUCAUGGCCCCAGCAAUAAGCAACUGCGAGUGCGAGGAGUUAUCAGUCCCCAAUAUAUUCUUGUUGGCAUUGACAAAUCAGGCGGCCGAAUUGGUCUGCUAUCGUCGAAGUUUAUGCUUCAGGUUAUCAGCGUGCUUCACAUCGUUCAUCUAAAAUUCUGCAAAACAGAAGAAGAGGAAAAAGAGCCACAAUAGUAACAGUACCACAAAUAUUUUGCCCUAAAGCUUUUUGCAGCAAAAAUGUGAUCGUGACCAAGAUGUCCAAGAAGAGAUGCUUAAUAAUAAUAAUAAUAAUAAUAAGAUAAUGAGCUUCCAUUGUGUGAAUAUGAAGAGACAUCACAGGAUAGCAAAUAUGAAAAAUUAGUGUGAAUUGUGGCUGUCCCAGAAGGUAUUUGAAUUGUUUUUUCUUUUUUACAUGUGCCAUUUUCCAAUUCUUUAUAUAUUUUUCAUGUGCUAUGUUUGCCAUCUUCCUCACACAACUUUUGUUAUAGAUUACGUUUGCAGCCAAGCUAAUCUUAACAUUAUUGAGCCUAUUAAGAAAAUCCCUUAUGAACCUAGAAAGGAACAAGUUGUGCUCAUCAAUGAUGCUUUCAUAGACAGGACGAACAUGGAAUGCCUUUUUCAGCCGAAUGAAUUUUUAAAUGAUUAGGUCAUAGCAUUUUUAAAUGACCAGUUCAUAGCAUUGCUUCUAUUACUUCUAAAAUAUGAAAUAUUUAUUCCCAAAUAUUUUACGGUUCCUCUAACCUUACUUGUGCAGGUCAUAAAUGCAUACAUUAUGUUAUUAAGGGCUCAAGAUCAUCUGAAGUUGAGGGCUUGUGGAAAAGUCCUCCUCAAGAAUUCUCUUAUCUCCAGUAUCCUCAAGAGGGAUGGUGAUGAUAAAAUUAAAAUUGUAGACCUAUAUCCCACACAUGACAAGAAUGAAAUUAGAACCAUUGAGAAAUGGGUUUUAUCGUACCUGGACCAUGACAUGACACUUAAGGUGAGGUGGCUGUGAGGAGAUUGUUGUUGGUGGCACGCUAGGAGCACCUUGAAAUAGACCGGCAACUGGGUGACGUUGAGGGAUGAAUAUUGAGGCAAGAGAGAGGUGAUGAAGUUGCACUUUGUUACUUAGAUCCUUUGAGAAAUAAAGUUGUAGGCAUCCGAAUUGCCUAGCUCUUGAAAACUAUUUCUACUUAUGUGGAAGGCAAAGUGUGUCUCUAUUGCUACAUGUUCAAAUAAAAAGUUUCCUUUGAUGAAGAA